ACGGGUGAGGAAUACGUCGGAAUCUGCCUAUUUGUGGGGGAUAACGUAGGGAAACUUACGCUAAUACCGCAUACGACCUACGGGUGAAAGCGGAGGACCUUCGGGCUUCGCGCAGAUAGAUGAGCCGACGUCGGAUUAGCUAGUUGGCGGGGUAAAGGCCCACCAAGGCGACGAUCCGUAGCUGGUCUGAGAGGAUGAUCAGCCACACUGGAACUGAGACACGGUCCAGACUCCUACGGGAGGCAGCAGUGGGGAAUAUUGGACAAUGGGCGCAAGCCUGAUCCAGCCAUGCCGCGUGUGUGAAGAAGGCCUUCGGGUUGUAAAGCACUUUUGUCCGGAAAGAAAAGCAUUGGGUUAAUACCCCGAUGUCAUGACGGUACCGGAAGAAUAAGCACCGGCUAACUUCGUGCCAGCAGCCGCGGUAAUACGAAGGGUGCAAGCGUUACUCGGAAUUACUGGGCGUAAAGCGUGCGUAGGUGGUUUGUUAAGUCUGAUGUGAAAGCCCUGGGCUCAACCUGGGAAUGGCAUUGGAAACUGGCUGACUAGAGUGCGGUAGAGGGUAGUGGAAUUCCCGGUGUAGCA
rnacentral:rRNA from 1 species